rnacentral:rRNA from 1 species
GAUGAACGCUGGCGGCGUGCCUAAUACAUGCAAGUCGAGCGAACGGACGAGAAGCUUGCUUUUCUGAUGUUAGCGGCGGACGGGUGAGUAACACGUGGAUAACCUACCUAUAAGACUGGGAUAACUUCGGGAAACCGGAGCUAAUACCGGAUAAUAUUUUGAACCGCAUGGUUCAAAAGUGAAAGACGGUCUUGCUGUCACUUAUAGAUGGAUCCGCGCUGCAUUAGCUAGUUGGUAAGGUAACGGCUUACCAAGGCAACGAUGCAUAACCGACCUGAGAGGGUGAUCGGCCACACUGGAACUGAGACACGGUCCAGACUCCUACGGGAGGCAGCAGUAGGGAAUCUUCCGCAAUGGGCGAAGGCCUGACGGAGCAACGCCGCGUGAGUGAUGAAGGUCUUCGGAUCGUAAAACUCUGUUAUUAGGGAAGAACAUAUGUGUAAGUAACUGUGCACAUCUUGACGGUACCUAAUCAGAAAGCCACGGCUAACUACGUG